UGGGGAAUAUUGCACAAUGGGGGGAACCCUGAUGCAGCGACGCCGCGUGAAGGAAGAAGUUAUUUCGGUAUGUAAACUUCUAUCAGCAGGGAAGAAAAUGACGGUACCUGACUAAGAAGCCCCGGCUAACUACGUGCC
rnacentral:rRNA from 1 species